GCAGUCGCCACGGUAAUACGGAGGGUGCAAGCGUUAAUCGGAAUUACUGGGCGUAAAGCGCACGCAGGCGGUCUGACAAGUCAGAUGUGAAAUCCCCGGGCUUAACCGGGGAGGGUCAUUGAAAACUGGGAAACUUGAGUGCAGAAGAGGAGAGUGGAAUUCCACGUGUAGCGGUGAAAUGCGUAGAGAUGUGGAGGAACACCAGUGGCGAAGGCGACUCUCUGGUCUGUAACUGACGCCGAGGAGCGAAAGCGUGGGGAGCAAACAGGAUUAGAUACCCGCGUAGUCCCUGUCUCUUAUAA
rnacentral:rRNA from 1 species